AUGGGAGAAGCAGAAAGUGACAGAUAAUUGUAACACACUGAAAUAAACUCUACUAGUAAGUACAAGCCCAGAAUUGUAUGGGAGAGUCAAGGGAGUUUUUCCUUUGGAUUUCAAAGAGCAGAUGGUGUUUGAGCUGAAUGUUAACUCCAUGAAGCAUAGGAAGAUCAUUCCAAACAGAAGUAACUGAACUUGGAAAGAUUUCCUGAUACUCUUCUGACCACAGGUUGACCGAAGGGUGUGAUUGGCAUGGAAUUGAAUUUCUUCUGUCUGUGGGAAUUGUAAAUAAGAUGUUACAUGUUUUAUAAAUUGAAGGCAAGACCCUCCACCAGCAAAAAGAUUACGACUUGCAUUAAUGUGAUAUCUGGAAUCCUUCAUGCAAUAUCUCUGAGGGAUGCCUGUACCACUUUAAAGAAACACAGCACUGCUUUACUGAGUUUCUGUGGCUCAAGAAUCUGGGAGCAUCUUCACUGAGUGAUACUGGCUCAUGAGGUUGCAUUCAUAAAGACUGUUGGGUCUGUGGUCAUCUGAAGGCUUGACUGGGGAUGGAGGAUUUACUUCCAAGAUGGCUCACUCAUAUGGCUGUUGGCAGAGGGCUUCAAUUCCUCAUUCUUUCUUGGCUGGAGGCCUCAGUUUCUUACCAGAUGGACUUCUCCAGAGGACUGGUUGUUACAAUAACACAGCUGAUGUCCUUCUAGAGCAGUGGUUCUCAACCUGCAGUAUAUAAUCUCUGAAUUCUUCAAGGAGAAUUAAGCCAUGUUUUCUCAUUUGGGAGAGUAAGGUAUUUUCCUGAAAAUGCUGAAAACAUUGCCAUUAUGAAUGUGUGUUAGUAGUGUUAAAUUUCUAAAAUUAGUAUUAGUUGAAUGGUUAGAAUGGUUUAGUAGUUUAAAAAAAUUGGUAUUAUAUUUCUUUAGUAAUUUGUGCAUCUCCUGGUUGGCAGACGUAACAUAAUUUGUGCCUGGCAUUCCAGUGAUUUUUGAAUACUGCUUGUACUGUUCUUUCUUUUUCUUCUUUUUGAAGACCAAAUGGUAUUCUUUUGGCAGAUUAAUAAGAUUAUAUUUGGUAUGUAAUUAUAACUUGUUGCAGCUUGUUUCACUUGAACUUAAUUUAGGACUUCAACAAAGGGAACAUAAGUAUUCUCAGCUUCCUAGGGCAGUGAUUUUCA